UUAGUUGAAACCAAAUAGAGGUGUAUCACUGUUAAUGAUAUCAUUGAAUAUAUAUUCCAAUUAAG
rnacentral:tRNA from 1 species